GCCGGGUGCGGUGGCGCGCGCCUGUAAUCCAAGUUCCCGGGAGGCUGAGGCUGGAGGAGCGUUUGAGCUCAGGAGCUCUGGGCUGCAGCGGACUAUGUCGAUCGGGUGUCCGCACUAAGUUCGGUAUCGAUAUGGUGCUCCGGGGGGAGCCCGGGAUCACCAGGUCGUCUAAGGAGGGGUGCACCGGCCCAGGUCGGACACGGAGCAGGUCAAAGCCCCCGUGCCGCUCAGUAGUGGGAUCGCGCCCGUGAAUAGACGCUGUAGUUCAGCCUGAGUAAGACAGCGGGACCCAGUCUUUA
ensembl:misc_RNA Metazoa_SRP Metazoan signal recognition particle RNA